GUCGAGAAUCUUCGGCAAUGGGCGCAAGCCUGACCGAGCGACGCCGCGUGGAGGAUGAAGGCCUUCGGGUUGUAAACUCCUGUCGAGGGGGAGGAAGCUUCGGUUGACCGAUCCCUGGAGGAAGGACGGGCUAAGUUCGUGCCAGCAGCCGCGGUAAGACGAACCGUCCGAACGUUAUUCGGAAUUACUGGGCUUAAAGCGCGUGUAGGCGGCUCGGCACGUCUGGUGUUGAAAUCCCCCGGCUUAACCGGGGAAGUGGCACGGAUACGGCCGAGCUGGAGGGAGGUAGGGGGGUCUGGAACUUCCGGUGGAGCGGUGAAAUGCGUUGAGAUCGGAAGGAACGCCCGUGGCGAAAGCGAGGCCCUGGACCUUUUCUGACGCUGAGACGCGAAAGCCAGGGGAGCGAACGGG
rnacentral:rRNA from 1 species